CCUACGGGAGUCUGCAGUGAGGAAUAUUGGUCAAUGGACGAGAGUCUGAACCAGCCAAGUCGCGUGAAGGAUGACUGCCCUAUGGGUUGUAAACUUCUUUUAUAAAGGAAUAAAACGAGGCACGUGUGCCUUUUUGCAUGUACUUUAUGAAUAAGGAUCGGCUAACUCCGUGCCAGCAGCCGCGGUAAUACGGAGGAUCCGAGCGUUAUCCGGAUUUAUUGGGUUUAAAGGGAGCGUAGGUGGGGUGUUAAGUCAGUUGUGAAAGUUUGCGGCUCAACCGUAAAAUUGCAAUUGAUACUGGCAGUCUUGAGUGCAGUUGAGGUAGGCGGAAUUCGUGGUGUAGCGGUGAAAUGCUUAGAUAUCACGAAGAACCCCGAUUGCGAAGGCAGCUUACUAAGCUGUGACUGACAUUGAUGCUCGAAAGUGUGGGUAGCAAACAGGAUUAGAUACCCGUGUAGUC
rnacentral:rRNA from 1 species